ensembl:lncRNA
UGCCAGCCAACAGCUGGGUCCUGCACUUGAUGACCACCAACACGUGGGCUCAGGACUCAGCAGCGGUCACAAGACUUGAAAUAAUUCCUGGAGACGUGUUAGAUCCUGAAAGCUGAGAUAGUCUGGACUGAGCAAGCUGCAAGAGCCACCUUCACUCAGUUCAAGAACACUUCAGUGUUUCACAAGGAGCCAGUUACACCAAAACACUCCAAUUUCACAUCCUGGAUACAUGCAUGAGUUCUGGGGACAUCCCAGAGGAGAAGCCACUUAAUCUGGAGCAGGUCUCACUGCCCGAUGGUGGGGACAAAGACGAGGCUGGUGGCUCCCUGGCAGACAAAGCAGUGUUGUGGGGGAUUGUUCAGUCUGAAGAAGAGGAGCUCAGAGGAGACUUUAUCACUCUCUACAACACCUGAAAGGAGGCUGUGGUGAGGUGGAGGUCGGCCUCUUCUCCCAGGUUUCUGGCUCUGUACGUUGCAGGUCAUUUAUAUUUUCUACUCAGAAUCUAAAGGCUGGAAACUGACUCAUUGUUAAUAGAAAGUAUAAAAGCCCACUAGGAGCAACAUGAUUCCAGGAGCUCAGACUAUCAUGGGAACAUCAAAUGCACCUGGCAUCGUGAUAAGGCCAUCAGAAAUUAGCAACACCAAAGGUGCAUCCUGGGUGUCCUUCUAACACAGAUCAUAGCUGACAUAUAUCUGUCUGUACUGACAUCACCUGGAGCCUCAGCAGCAUACUUUGGAGGUGAGAAGAUGCUCAGAAUCAAGGACAGCUCUGUGCCUUCAUCCAUAACCCGCUGCUGAUCCCAGCCAGUUGGAGGUGCUGCGAAAGAUGGGCUAAGUCAGCCCUCACCGAUAAGGGUAAAGUAAGGGUGCUACAGCAUCAGGUUUGAAGGCAAAGCCUAUGGAGAUAGGAAGAAGGACUGGGGCACAUUUUCCUACGCCAUCUACAAGUAUCUACAUUUCCAUCCUCUCCUCAUCUCAUCCUGACUGUCCCAAAGCACUUUUUUUGUCCAAAUUGGAGUGAAUCCCUUAUAAAGGGCAGAUGGAGAAUGGUAGCAGCCUUCUGACCAAGGCGCUGCUGAGUAUUUUCACUCCCCUUGUCCUCUUCUGAAGCUGGACCAUGUGCUUUGUGGGAAGUCUUAAAUGGAGCGAUGUCUACUGCAGCCAAGAGAAUUAAUGUCACAAUUCUAUUUGAAGGAAAUGACAAACGUGUCCUCAAAUUCAAAGCAGACACAUCCAAUCUCCUGGCAUGACUGCGGUGAGGUACAGCAAUCUCCGUUCUGCCCCCAGAUCCAGGCGGCACAGCAACCCUGAUCCAUCAGCGGUGAGGUCAGCUCUGUUGGUCUGAGCUACAUCUGCCUCUCCAUCAAGCAAAGAACUGAAGGAGGCAAAGCUUGCAGCAAGCUGCAAACCACAUCCACUCCCACCAAUCACCUUUACUUCUCUCUUCUCUUCUGGUUUGGGGUUUCUGACAACUGUAUCUUUUCUAAACGGAAGCCCACACAAGCCUCUCUUCUGACGCCUUUCACUUGUGAUUUUGUGAGUCUUUAUAACCAGCUCUAAGAAACACUUGAAAUGCGACCAUUAAAUCACUCAAUAACACCCUUCAGAGCACUUUUACACAAGGCUGCGAUAUGUGUGCGGGGACAGCCUGACACCACUGGGAGGGCACCUUCAUCUCUGGGACAGCAGCCCACAGAGGAGGUCAAGGAAGUAUUUCUGAAGAGCCAUUCCUCACAGAUGCUCAGCUUUUGAGUCUGAUGGCCCUGUAGGAGAUCAAGGCAGCCACCAACAGGGGAUAUGCUUUUACAGGCUGAAGUCCAUGAGAAGAAAGGAGUCAGACUUGUCCUGGUUAUGGAGGAAGCACUCCUACCAACAUCCUAUGAGACACAGGUCCUUGUCUCAAGCCCCUGAAUGCGCCUGCAAGCCGGAGGCCCAGCAAGAGGAUGAGCCCACGGAGGAGGCAGAAGGGGCCGAGUGUCAAUGCUGCAGCCACAGCAAGCACAACGUGGAGGGCACAGUGCUCUGACAGCAGUCGGCUUCACAGAGACUGCUAGUGUAAGCACAGAUCUAAUUGAAUUGCAGAUGUCUUUUCUGAUGGCUAUCUGGGAACAAGGCUUUGAUUAAAGCAGCAGCAAGAGAGAGGCAGAACAGGCUUGCUCUCGGUAAUAAAACUAAUGGAAGGAAGAAUGACCACUUACUGUGGCCUCCUCAGGGAGCACAAAACAAGCAGAUACUCUGAACAAGACCUUCUUCUUGAGAUUCAAAAGCUUGGCAAAAAUACCCAGCUUCCAGCUCCUGAAGAUCCUGAAUAUAUAUAGUACUGGAAAGCAGAUGACCAUGAUUUAAAUGAUCCACAAACUCUUCUCCCCUUCUUCCCAUACUCCUUGACCAACGCAUCUGCUGCCCUUCAGGAAGGUCAGAUAGGCUUGUUCUUUGAUUUUAAUGACUGGCCAUUUUUAUUCUCUGUCCUUACCGACUCAUAGAGUGGCUUGGGUUGGAAGAGACCUUUAAGAUCAUGUAGUUCCAACCCCCUGCUGCAGGCAGGGACACCUCCCUCUAGAACAGGUUGCUCACAACCCCAUCCAGCCUGGCCUUCCAGGGAGGGGGCACCCACAACCUCACUAUGCAAUCUGUUCCAGUGUCUCACCACCCUCAGUACAGAAUUUCUUCCUAAUGACUAUUCUAAAUCUACCCUCCUCCAGUUUAAAGCCAUUGGUUACUCCCAAGAUUCAGGUGGAUUUGCCCUGAGCUUGUACAUGCUGGAUCUCAUGAAGCCCCUUCAGAUUUCAUGGUGCCCUCAGAGCUCCUAAGGGGGAGAGCUCUCAGCCCAUCCAAACUAGAAGACAGAAUUGCAGCAUUGUGACCUUUUUUUUUUCCCCCUCCAUCUCAUGACAACUUGAACCACAUCCAAUAUGUAUUACUACAUACACACCACUGAAAAACCACCUCCACCCAAGGCAGAUGAAGAAUCAAACUUUAAGAUGACCUAAAAAUCUGGCUCAGCCCAAGAACAAGGUUUCAGAGAACUGCUUUCCCUACGCUCAGCUGUCUGCACCCAAGCAGGUUCUGGGGGCCCCUAGGCCAACUCUCACUGCUUCUUGUUCUCACUCAG